CGCUUACUAGCUCAAUUGGUAGAGCGUGGGACUCUUAUAUUCAGUCUUUACAGGCUAAAGUGUCAGAUAAUAAUCUCAAGGCUGGGAGUUCGAUCCCUCCGUAAGGUU